GUAAAAUCCAUUUUCAUAAUGGUAUCAGGGAAAGUCAAAUUUCAUUCAAUUUCAACCAUGAGAGAUAAUAGCGUCUGUAUAUAGAGGACAGCCAUCAAAAUUCAGUAAGUCCAAUAAUCUAUCCUUGCCAUCCAUUGCAAUUGCCGUACUCAAUGCUUUGAAAAUGUAAAUCCAACAAGUUUCCUACUUUCCGAGGGAAAAGAAAGGCUUCUCUUAACUGAAUUAGUGUACAAACAGCUGGUUGCUUCGCUUUGUAGUGGCUAUUGUAUACAAUUAUCCAAGAACCAACAUAAAAUGAACGUUCAAAAGAAUGAUCGAUGUAACCUGUGCGCGCACAAAUUCUGCUACAGCUAGCCAUGUCAGUUAAUGAACCUGAACGAUGAAACAGUCUUCUGAAUCUUGGAACUAUAUUUCUCUGCUUCUUCAUCCAAAAACUGCCCUGUCACGGUAUAUAGUCUGUUAUACCAACCAUUGAAUGCCAUCCCAAGCGCUGAAUAUAAAUGUUUGCGACUUUCGCCUGGAUUUUGCAGUGUGUAUUCAAUGUAAUAAAGCCCAUUAGAGGAUUUACAGUCGAUGAGUUUUGCUGCUACACCUGGGGGCCUUUGCCAGCUUCUGUCCAAUCCACCAACCAGAGUCUCAGCGAAGGCUUCCACUUUGCCAAAAGACUCCAUUCUAGUAAAAUCCGGACCAAGCCCCGUGAUCACAACACUGACAUUAGAGGUCGAAUAAGCUUCUUCUGGGUAGAAAGCGGUCACUGACUUGAACCCGCCAUCAGGUUCUCCUGCACCUACUCGCCAUUCUGCCACAACAUUCUCAUUCCUCAGUUUGAUUUUUUAACGAACAAAAUGUCAUUUCCUAAUUGAGUUCAGUUAAGCAACAAUUUCAAAAUCCAAUUCGUGAUUAUAAACUUAAGAUUUUGCCGAAUAAUUCACCUUGGGGAAUCGUUAUCUGGAACUUGUUGGCAUCAUCAGUAUAAACACGCAACUCAUCUAAGAAGAAAAGCUCUCAAAAUUAACUUUAGAAAUAACUAUGAACAUUAUUACUGAGAACAGAUUUAUUACCAAUCUCUGCAAAUGCAUUAUAAACAAUUGCCGGAAAAGUACACCCAAUAAAUGCGAUCUUGAACAGAAGUUCUCUUCUUCCAGGUAGUUCUUGAAGCGAAAAACUUUUAACAAAUCGAUAAAAUCAAUCAAACUAAAGAAUCAAUAGAUGAUCCGAAAAGCAAGCAGAAAGAGGAUUUAAUGAGAUAUUAUUACUAGAGUUGGUUUUGGUGUUGUUCUUCUACUCGGUAGGUGUUGCUGCAGCAGGGAAGCUGUUGCUUUCUGCAUUUCUUGAUACCUGAAGAGAGCGAGUUAGGGUUUGGUUUGAGAACAUGAAGAGGCGACUCGUCGGAGAAAGGGGUGAAGUAGCGAUUGCAAGGACGCUGGGACACCCAAUUACACAGUAAAGACAUAGACGCCAUGAUUUUUCUGUUUUGGUUGGUUACCAUCGCUCUGCUUUCGUCGGACUUUAUCCGUUUUUUCUGUUUACUUCACUCUGCUGGUUGUUAACAGCCAUUUUAAC
rnacentral:misc_RNA from 1 species